ACCUGGCUGGCUCAGUCAGUAGAGCAUGCAACUUUUGAUUUCGGGUCAUGAGUUCAAGCCCCAUGUUGGGUG
rnacentral:tRNA from 1 species